UACGGGGGGAGCAAGCGUUGUUCGGAUUUACUGGGCGUAAAGGGCGCGUAGGCGGUAGCACAAGUCAGUUGUGAAAUCUCCGGGCUUAACUCGGAAAGGUCAACUGAUACUGUGCGACUAGAGUGCAGAAGGGGCAACUGGAAUUCUCGGUGUAGCGGUGAAAUGCGUAGAUAUCGAGAGGAACACCUGCGGCGAAGGCGGGUCUCUGGGCCGAUACUGACGCUGAGGAGCGAAAGCGUGGGGAGCGAACAGG
rnacentral:rRNA from 1 species